AGUGGACAUAAUUAGUUGUUGUUUUUGUUCUUCUUGUAUCGUUUUCUUUUCUAUCGCAAAUUUUUUGGUUUUCUUAUUUGUGUGAACUCUUUCAAAAAAAUAGAACGAA
rnacentral:ribozyme from 14 species